ensembl:lncRNA
ACACACAGAGAGAGAGAGAGAGAGAGAGAUAGAGAGAGAGAGAGAGGGAGAGGGAGAGGGAGAAUAAGGGAAUGUAGUGACAGAAGGCGUGAGAGUAAUCCUGAGAGAAAGAUAGUGUGUGAGAGAGAGAGAGAUUGAGUGAGAGAGGGGUAGACAAAGAGAAGUCAGCUAGGACAGGACCAUACAGAGAGAGACAGAAAGGGAGAGAGAAAGAAAGAGGGAGUUCUCUUGGAAGAACUCCACAACUGUUCCACUGGUUUUCAUGGUCAGGUCAGAGUCUUCUCUACCCUGCGUCCUCGACUCUCUCUCUACCUCACUUUCUGUAUCUCUCUCUCUCUACCUCACUCUCUAUCUCACUCUCUGUAUCUCACUCUCUCUACCUCACUCUCUCUACCUCACUCUCUGUAUCUCACUAUCUGUAUGUCACUCUCUCUGCUCAGGGACGUUGAAGUCUCUCCUGUCCCACCACAACGGUGUGGGUGCCUGAACUUUCCACAGCUCCGUCCUCGGAGAUUAAGGAGGAGAAUAAGUGAUGGCACGCAGCAGGGUGAGCGGGAUGGGACAGGAGCCUGUCAGGCAGCAGCAGGGCUCAUUUGGAGGAGCGCAGUCGCAUCUCUAACUCCCCUGCCUCUCUCCUGACCUGGAACUAGCAGAUUACAUCACAAUCUGCCACAUCCACACCAUAAAAAAAACACCGUCUCUCAGAGUCAAACCAGGAUUUACGGUCUAUUGGCUGGAAAGCUGCCUGUUACCUGGAGGCCAUGGAAUGCUCAGUGCAAAGGCCAAAGAUAACUUGGCAGGGCGUUGUGUGUGCAGUCUUAAAUAGGACACUUAGUCACAUUCUCUGGCAUCCUUUGGUCCGCAGACAACAGCUACAGCCUGUUCAUGUUGAAAAGAGUCACGGUAAUAUGGCAGGAGGGUGACCAGGUGUCCCGCUUUGCAUUGUACUGCACCGCAUGUUGGCCCUUUGUCCCACAUCCGUGUAUUAACUGUCAGAAAUAAGAACACAUGGGUGUGUUUUUUUUUACCCGCCUGGCACAUGAGCCGCUUAUGCCGUUGCAGCAGAGUUCCUACUCUAUUUAGUAGCGCUACGUCAAACGCAGCAACCUGGCUCGUACAAAUGCAACAUAGCCAAGCUUGUCUAAAAGCCUGGCUUUCAUCCAAAAGGCUGAGAGAAGAGACGUGAAGUCCCACAUUGUCCCACACCAAACGUACUACUCGUCCAACAUUUGGCCUGUUUGCAUCUAGUCACCCUAUAUGGCAACAGUUAUAGAUCUAAACAUUUUUAGACAAUUUAUGUCUUCAGAUGGGUAGAUUUGAACCCAGCACAAUGAUCAGCUAUACACAGAAUAACGUGCUUCCCUGCGAGAUCAGACAGUGGAAAUGGGAGCGAGCACAAAGCGUGGAGCCAGGGGGCAGACUCCCUCUCUGGGUCACCCCGGUCAGUAAUCACCACUCGCCCACUUCCUCCUGUGGUUUGGCAGGUGGUGUCUGCAGGAAAACACCGUUUUCUUUCCAUAGCUAUGAACUUAAGCUGAAAUUCCCUUCCAAAACUCCCAUCCUUCCCUCACUACCCUCCCAUCAGAGCGCUGCAGACCAGGGUGUUCCAGGGUCAGCUCAGACCGUAGACUAGUGAACAUAGGAGGGGAGAAGGCUAAGUCCAGCCUUUGAUAAACAGUCUCUUCCCUAACCGCAGUCCUGAACCUGCCACUUUACACAGAAUGUAAUUAUGGUCAUCUGAAUGGUUAAAUACAGGUGCUCUCAUGGAACACAAACACAGCACAGUCCCAUGGAGAGGCAGUGUUGUCUCUGACAUACUUUACAUGUGGAAAACUAUUGAGAAAUCGACAAUGAACUCAUCAAUAAAAAAUGUAAAGAGAGCAGUGGA